GGUAGGACAGGAAAACUACCAUGAGCUGAAGCUGGUAUUUCCCUCCUCACACAUGGAUCACUAGCGUGGAUAGCAUCCCAAUCACUACUCCCAGGAAGAAUAUUUAACUGAGGGAAGGAAAGAAGAGGAGAGAAGGCUGACUGCAUCUAGAUGCCAAUAUCCUACACUUCCCAAAGAACUACUGGAGGACAGAAGAAGAUAGAAUUUUGGCUGGUUCUUAAAGCAUUAAAAGAAAUACACCAGAAGAAGAAUCAAGAGGAAAGACAUUCCAGGUCCUUUUUGUGGAACAACAUGCACAGAAAGAAGUAUAAAUGUUUUCCCUGUCAGAGAAUGCUGGUGUUCUUUUGUGUAUAUGUAUUGGUACACCCUAUUUAUAAACCAAGAAAACAAGAUGACUACCCAAGAUCGCAUAGCUGAAGCAUUUUUUUUCUGGGUUACCCAGCCAUAACUCCCUUCCCAUGCUGAGAGAGGUGAGAAAGUUUGGCCAUCUAUAAUUCUGUCUGCCUCCUACACGAAAAUUGAAGAACAAAGAGAGGCAGUGUCCUGUCCCAGGUAGUGUCAGCAAGGAUUGGAUCCCAGGUAGAGUCUGGGUUCAUACAGUGAUCUUUCAACUUAACCACAGAUCUGGCCAAUGGGAUUCCAUCUCACAGAGUACAUCUAGCAACACUCUCCCUACUUCCCUUAUAUAAGGGAAAGAAGCAAUCCUUUCCAGCUGAAGUUGUUGAUGGCUGACAAUGAUAUAUGCAUGGAAUAAUUUAGAUGUAAUCUUCAUUCUUUAUUCAAAGAAGAAAUCACUGCAGAGAGGAAAAGGGACUUCACAAAGGCACACAAUAAAUCAGUGUCAGAACCAAGAACCUAACCAGGGAGUUAUUCUUGUCAUCCUCCGAGGCCAAAUAACCCAUAGCCUGGAGUUUGUUUACAGAAGAGUGUUCCUCAAGUCUCACUUGCUGACUGUAGUUUAGGAGGAUGAGCAUGCGCAGAACAAUGUGGAUUAUAUCAUUAAGCAAAUUAUCAGUCCUGCAGUGGCCAACUUUCAUCCAGGAGCCAUCUGUGAGAAAAUGUAAUGGUCCCUCUGCUCUACUCCUCCACCUCAGAAGCUCUUCCUGCCUGUCAGUAGACUAGAGAUAGAGCCAUAGUCUGCUGAAUUGGAGCAGCCUUUAGAAGGGGAGCUGCCUUGGCCUCCAGUGAAAAUCACACCCACACAGCCUUCCUAAAGUCUUCUGUUGCAGCCUCUGAUGUCUAUGGGCCAGUGUGAGUUGAUAUGCAAAAUCCUCUCACCAUGGUGCUUUCCCCUUGAACAUACAAAGCCAUUUUACCAUCAGAAGGUCUUUGCGCUGGACUUUGAGUUGGUCACAUGAUUGCCAUCUUCAGAUUAUUCAGGUCUCACCUCCGGAACCAUCAAAAUCCUAGAGAACACAGGCAACAACUCUGUGACAUUGGCCAGAGCAACUUCUUUCUAGAUAUGUCUCCUGAGGCAGGGAAACAAAAGCAAAAAUAAACUUUUGAG